rnacentral:lncRNA from 1 species
ACUAGCUUUUUAAUAGGAAAGGGUGUCCUACUACCUUGACAUUAUCUCUUUUCCAGACAAAUAACUUUUCUCUCGAACAAGUCAGAUGUUAGACUGGCGUUGGUCUAUGCGUCUUCUUUUCUAGACAAAUAACCUUUCUCUCGAACAGGUUAGAUGUUAGAAUGGCGUGUUCUUGUGUUUGAACCGCAAAGAAUGUAGAUUUAAGAUGAAGAGAAUAAUGAUAUAAGCAAUAUACUUGUCUUGAACUCACAAACUCAUAGCUAUAGAUAGUAACUCAUUCGGCUUCCAUAACCCCAACUAAGAGAUUUAGUUACCCAUGAAUGCGAAGGAUAUCACGUUUUGCAUGGUGGAUGGCGUGAAUAGUAGGUGUUUGGCGUGUGGUUUUAGUGAUUCCGUAGCAAGUAACGAUUCUCUUGUUGUGGAAUUUAAGAGUAGAAGAAUGAAGAAUUGAGAAUGGGCUGUAGGAAGAUGUCUUAAUUGUAAGGAGAUGAAUGAAUUGUCAGAAUGUCUCCCCCUUUUCUUCCUUGAAAAUCUCUAACAUGAUAGGGUAUUUAUAAUACUCCUAUCCUACUCCUACUAA